UAGCUGGAGUGGAACGAUCCAAUUUCAACCUUAAUCUGUGGUCAAAGGUGGCAAGCAUUGACGGGGCGGUGACAUGGACACAUCAAAGGGUCAUUGAACUCGGAAAAAUUCUUGCGCCUGAAGCAGUGUCGGUUUGUAUGGCUGGGGGUAUUGGAGCGCAUGCAGUUGGCUGUGCGGUAGAUGCGGAUGUGAUUUUCAUCGAUGUGUAUCCUAGCAUCUACAUGAUCCAUCUCAAGUCCAUGAAGAUCAAGGAGGUGUCGAAGGAACGGAUCGGCAGACAAUAUGUUUUUCCUUACACAAGUUUCUACGUUCCAGGAAUUACCAUUCGUGGUGCAAAUGAUCAAGUUGAACUGCUGAACAACAGUUGAGAUGAUUGUGCUGUUACAUCUGCUGAUACACUUUGGUUGUUGAAGAGGUUUCCGCCGAGCGGUGAAUGUGGCUGUUAAUAAACUACUAUUCCUUGAGAAAUGUGUCACUCACUUGCAAAACGUGAGGAAAUUUGUGGCUUUAAUAAUGCUCUGUAGCACAUUCGUGCUGAACCAAUAUGUUAGGUUUUUCUUCAGAGAUUCCCAUGGCUUUGUGAGCUCUAUGAUCCCCCGCUAAAAAUUGUCAUAGUUUGUUCUUUCCUUUUUUGUGGUACCAUCGCAAUGUUGUAUAAUGCGCAAAGUUGAACUCUGCUUGUGUGAUGGCAUGGCAAUAUGACAGCUGCUAUACCUGGG